GUAAAGUUUGUUCCAGCUUCAAUGGCUUGCACGUCCUUCUUUUGUUUGUCUUUGGUACUAUGUGGCGAUUUUGCCUCCGUUUUUGAAGCAAUUAAUAUUAGUUUUCUCUUAUACUACCUUUUCUUUUUCACUAAGCCUUCUAUGUCAACGUUUUAGUUUGUUCAAGUUUAUAAUCUAUACUAUUAAAUUAUAUCUUAAAGAUCGUUUUCAGUAAUUUUUCUCUUAACUAAUUGUUGUUUAGCAUUAACAAUUGGGUGCACGUGCAGAAAUGCCUCUGAGGUUUCUCUUGAUAUUAAGGAUUUUAGAUGUCCAGAGUAUUAUCCAUUUAAACGUUUUUCUUUGAACUUUCUAUGAAUACAAUAUUUCAAAUAGCAACAGAUUUUAUUUGUUUGCAGAUUUUUUUGUAUAUUGCAGAAAUGUGUUGCACAGCACAAAAAUGUGUAAUAUGACAAAGUUGAAAGUUUGUUGUGUUAAAUAUCCUAUGUGUACACUUUUUUUUCUUUAAGUUGCUGUACGUUAACAUGAUAAACAGUUCAUGCUGCUUGCGUCCUAGCUGUGUAGCAGUUAUAGAAAGGAUUGUUGAAAAAGUUUGCUUUUAAAAUUCUUACAAUGUGAUUAUAAUGCUCAUUGCUGGUAGUAAUGAAGAUGAACUUUGGUGUUGGAGUGAGCAUUGCCUGUUGAAAUGAACCAACACCAGUGCAAAUUUUUGGAUUAUCACUCUAAUUACUGCAUAUGGUUUUAUCACUUUAUGUUAGGGUUUCCUUGCUUAUGGAUGUUGAAUUCUCUUAGAAGAUCAGAUUCUGACCAAGAACAAAAUCAGCAACAAAUACUUGAGAAAGAAAAUAAAGAAACUUUUGGAGAUGGAGAGAAAAGUCAUUCUUAAACCAGAAUGACUGAAAUGCUUUUAGAGGAUACCGAGAUGAAACAAGGAGAAUGGCUUCAAAUAUAUGCCCUCUGAAAGAAGAGGACAAAACUGUGAAGAAUUGCAAACCAAUCUGAUUAUUUGAUUGCGUUUAUGAAAAAGUAAUAAAGGACCCCAUAUCUCACCACAGUCAAAAAUUGCCACUGAAAAAUUGUGUAACACUUUAGAGACAUCACUAAUGAGGUAGUAACAUAUAUAAACAGAAAUUUUGACACAGUAUUUCCAUUUUAUUAUAUUGCAGGCUGUCCUAUUAGUAGGACAAUGGUCCUUUACACUACUGAAAAAAAAAUUGCAUACUUACUCAAGCAAUUAACAAUGAAAUUUGGGAAAAUAGUCAGUACAAAGUCUAAAUACUGCAUAAUUUUGAAAAUAGUUGUUGGUUUUUUCUUGCAUGUUUUUAGCGGCCCACCAGCGGCCAAGCGGUAAAGUCGCUGAACACUGGUAGUUCAGUCCGACGUUCGAAUCCUGCGAAUGGAUUGGCUGCAUGGGUAUUUAUGUUCUCUACACUGAGAUGGAUGAGCUUUUUAUUAUUUGGCAGAGAACUGCAUUGCUUGACGUUUCUAGGUACUGCCUGGUCUAAAUAACUUAUAGUAAUGGAUCUUCGAAAUAUUAAAAUGCCUUGCAUUUUCUCAGGACAAAACAGUUUGGAAAUUUGCCAUGCUUCAGUGAUAGCUGUUUCAAAGCAGUUCAAGAAAAGGAGUGAGUACCACUUUUUUCCUUGUAUAGAAGUAAAAUCAACUUCUACAUGGCUGUAAAAAAAAAUCCACCUCAUUUUUGUAUUUGUUGUAUGAAGUCGCACAAAAUGGAACAUUCAUUUUCGUACUGCUUCCUUUCACCCUACACUCUACUUUGUUUUUCACUUUUGUUUCUUCAAAAUUUGUCAGCAUAGACACUACAUGAUUAUCAUUCCAUAUAACAGCUUUUUGUUACCAACUGCAGCUUUUUGUUUGUUUCAUCAAACGGUGCAUUAGAAGAGCCUCUCUGUUUUACUCAAUGCUUUCGAAUGCACAAGUGAACAUUUUGUCAUUCGAUUACCUCACAUAGUUCCAGUUUCUUUCAAACAAACAAGUAAUCCAUUAGAUGAGGAAAAUAAAUGUUCUGUAAAUGUUUGCAGAAAGACAGCUGAUGCAGGGUAUGAUGUAUGUGUAACUCAAACCUUUGCACUUAUAGGAAGGUGAUAUUCAGCCAUUGAAAAAUUUUGUAUGAUCAUGAAUAACCUACCUUUUUCGUCAAGGACAUAAAUAAGUGUAAGAUGUUUAGAUUCUGUGUAUUCUAUCCCAUCGCAAAAUAUAUUUGCGGAUGCUCAUAAGAAGAUUCUGGAUAUCGAAGCAUCUGUCCAAAUUCAGCAAAAUUUGUUGAUAUAGGUGUUUCUUUCGAUGGAGCGUGGCUAAUGCACGGACAUUCAUCACUCAUAAGAGUAAGACGUGUUAUUGAUAUCCUUACAGGUUAUAUGAUUGACUUCUAAGUAAUGAGCAAAAUGUGCCAUCACUGUUCAUUAGCAAAGCAAUUCAAGGAAUUAAGUGCUGAAUUUAAAAUAUGGUAUGAUGGCCAUAAAAGUGAGUGUGCGGACAUUGAAACAGAUGAUCCCACACGGGAUCAUCUGUUUCAAUGGAAAUAGAAGCUGCAUUGUUUCUUUGGAAACAGUCCGUAUCACUAAGAUUUCAAUAUUUAACUCUGCUAUCUGCUGGUGAUUGUAAAACUUAAUUACUUGAGGGUGAAAAUGGUUUAUGAUUCUGAUAUCGAAAUAAGAAAGGAAGAAUGCAUAAACCAUAUCACUAAAACAUUAGGAACAGGUUUGAAAACUGUUGUAAAGGACUGGUGGGUGCAAGGCAUUAUUUUAGGAGGAAACAUUCACGGAAGCUAAAAACAAGCAUCAGAUAAAAAGCUUACUAGCUAUUACCAAAACGUUAUUUUGAGACGGGGGGGGGGUAAAUGUUAUGAAAACAGCAAGGUAACAAACCUCAACACUCAAAAUGCCCUACAGGGUUUGAUUUUUGGUGCUUUUACCAGUCACCAUCAGUUAAAGGUGAAACUCCAGACAAACAUAAAUUGAAAGUUGGAACACCAAGAAAUGAAACAUAUGUUCCAAAAAUUCUUCCCAUUUAUCAGAGGCUUGCUUCAAAUGAACUGCUUGGUAGAUGUAUAAUUUGCAGAAUGCAAAAUACUAACGAAAGUUUGCACAAUAUGAUUUGGGCGAAGUGUCCAAAAGAAAUUAUUGUGCAUAAAUUACAAAUGAAAUGUUCUGUAAUGGAAGCAGUUUGUGAAUUUAACAAAUUAUCAGUACACACUAUGAAAGAUAUGCAAAAAGCUUUAGGAGUGUGUAUGGGAAAUGCAACAACAACAAAAAACUAACUGUUUUAGGUAGUCGCAAAUUUCCUUUAGAAAGAGAUGAAAAAAAUGACAGUACCCGGCUUGCUUGUAAAUUAGUUAAAAUGGCAAUACAUAGAGGAGAGCAAGUGGCAAAGAAAAGGGAAUCAUAUAUGCUACUGAACAUUUUUGAACAAAAUUAUUCUGUGAUUGCUAAAUUUAAAAUAGUUUAAAACUUCUCUGUUUAUUAAAAUUAAAAAAUUGAAUAAAACCACCAGUUAUUAUUAUA